rnacentral:rRNA from 1 species
GAUGAACGCUGGCGGCGUGCUUAACACAUGCAAGUCGAACGGAAAGGCCCAAGCUUGCUUGGGUACUCGAGUGGCGAACGGGUGAGUAACACGUGGGCGAUCUGCCCUGCACUUCGGGAUAAGCCUGGGAAACUGGGUCUAAUACCGGAUAGGACGAUGGUUUGGAUGCCAUUGUGGAAAGUUUUUUCGGUGUGGGGUGAGCUCGCGGCCUAUCAGCUUGUUGGUGGGGUAAUGGGCUGCCAACGCGUCGACGGGUAGCCGGCCUGAGAGAGUGUACGGCCACAUUGGGACUGAGGGACGGCCCAGACGCCGACGGGAGGCAGCAGGGGGGAACAUUGCUCAAGGGGCGCAAGCCUGAUGCAGCGACGCCGCGUGGGGGAUGACGGCCUUCGGGUUGAAAACUCCUUUCGCUAGGGACGAAGCGUUUUGUGACGGUACCUGGAGAAGAAGCACCGGCUAACUACGUG